rnacentral:lncRNA from 1 species
UUUCGUUCUCUUUUUUCUUUAUAACAUAAUAAAGCCAAAGCUGCAUACGAAAGUAUCUCGCACUCCAUGCUCACAACACUUUCUGUAGUGAUUGCUUGACGACGAAUCUGAACGACUGGUCUCGGCGAUAGAUCUGAUGAUGGAUCGUUCCGUGUGUGGGGUUAUGCAGUCGGUUUGAUGGUUCGGCGGUUUGGCGGCGGAUCUGAGGAUGGAUCGCACAAUGUGUGUGGACCGUCAAACGACGACGGAUCGGAAACGAUCCGUCGUUACAACCGAUACGACAACAAAUCACAUUGUGUGUGGGAACAUACAAUCGGUCUGACGAACUUGAAAUUUGGCGACCGAUCUGACGACAAAUCGCUCCGUGUGUGGCGGCCUUAACAUGAAUUUUGAAAAUAUUGUAAACCAUUAUGUUUAGACUUAUAACUUACAAAUAAAAUGGAUAUUUAUAUUCUAUAUUUUAAAAAAGAAAAAAAUAUUUUUAUCUGAAGUUAAUUCAUGGAAAUUGGAUAUAUGUGAUUUUAUUCUUAAUUAUGGAAUUUUAUUAUUAAACAAUUUGUGGAUCCUGGUAUGCCA